GGGGAUUUCCGAAUGGGGCAACCCGAUGGAGGUAAUACUCCAUCACCCGAAAGGGAGCUAACCCAGGGAACUGAAACAUCUAAGUACCUGGAGGAAAAGAAAUCAAAAGAGAUUCCCUAAGUAGCGGCGAGCGAACGGGGAAGAGCCCAAACCGGCGGGGGUAACCCUCUGCCGGGGUUGUGGGGCCCUAGAGGAUCAGAUCGAAAGUGUAGCAGAACGCGCCUGGAACGGCGGACCAGAGAGGGUGACAGUCCCGUACGCGAAACAUGAGUAGAGAAGAGCUAGGGUACCCGAGUAGGCCGGGGCACGAGAAAUCCCGGUUGAAUCUGGGGGGACCAUCCCCCAAGGCUAAAUACGAACUCGUGACCGAUAGUGAAUAGUACCGUGAGGGAAAGGUGAAAAGAACGCCUGACGGCGAGUGAAAUAGAAUCUGAAACCGUGUGCAUACAAGCGGUAGGAGCCUGGCAUCUGCUACGGCAGAUGAACGGGUGACUGCGUGCCUUUUGCAUUAUGAUCCGGCGAGUUACUCCUCACGUGCGAGGUUAAGGCCUUAAGGGCUGGAGCCGAAGCGAAAGCGAGUCUGAAAUGGGCGUUGAGUACGUGGGGGUAGACCCGAAACCGAAGCGAUCUAUCCAUGGCCAGGUUGAAGCCGGGGUAACACCUGGUGGAGGACCGAACCGUUGUGGGUUGAAAACUGCUCGGAUGAGCUGUGGAUAGGGGUGAAAGGCCAAUCAAGCUCGGAGAUAGCUGGUUCUCCCCGAAAUAUAUUUAGGUAUAGCCUCAGGAAUUUUGUCCGGGAGGUAGAGCACUGAAUGGGUUAGGGGCCCUACCCGGUUACCGACCCCAAUCAAACUCCGAAUACCCGAGACAUGGACCCUGGGAGUCAGUGGGCGAGCGAUAAUGUCCGUCCGCGAGAGGGAAACAACCCAGACCGUCAGCUAAGGCCCCUAAGUGUGUGCUAAGUGAGAAAGGAUGUGGAUUUGCAGAGACAACUAGGAGGUUGGCUUAGAAGCAGCCAUUCCUUUGAAGAGUGCGUAACAGCUCACUAGUCAAGUGGAUCCGCGCCGAUAAUGGUCGGGACUCAAGCACACCGCCGAAGCUACGGAUGCGACUCCACGUUCGCGUGGGGAAACAUGGUAGGGGAGCAUUCCCUGGGCACUGAAGCGGACCCGUAAGGGCUUCCGUGGAGCGCAGGGAAGAGAGUAUGCCGGAAUGAGUACGCGAUAAACAGAGUGAGAAUCUCUGUCACCGAAAGCCUAAGGGUUCCGGAGCCAGGCUUAUCCGCUCCGGGUUAGUCGGUCCCUAAGCUCAGGCCGAAGGGCGUAGGCGAUGGGAAACAGGUCAAUAUUCCUGUACCGUAAUGUGCGCGUUUGACCCUAAGGGGGGACGCGGAAGUGACAGGACCGUCGGGUGGUGGAAUAUCCGAUGUAAGGUGGUAGGCGAUGGGGGGUAGGCAAAUCCGCCUCCUUAGCCGAGCGCCGAUGCCGAAGGGGAACUCGUUCCCCGCAAAGGGUCCGUAAUCAUGCCGCCAAGAAAAGCCUCGUAGGGAAGUUCACAUUGCGACCGUACCUCAAACGGACACACGUAGGCGAGGCGAGAAGCCUAAGGUGCUCGAGUGAAUUGUGGAGAAGGAACUCGGCAAAAUGUCCCCGUAACUUCGGGAGAAGGGGAGCCCGUGUUAGGUGAACCCGCUGCAUGGGGGAGCCGAAGCGGGCCGCAGAGAAUCGGCCCAGGCGACUGUUUAGCAAAAACACAGGUGUCUGCUAAGUCGCUGAGACGACGUAUAGGCACUGACGCCUGCCCGGUGCCGGAAGGUUAAAGGGAAGGGUUAGGACUCGUCCGAAGCUCCGAACUGAAGCCCCGGUAAACGGCGGCCGUAACUAUAACGGUCCUAAGGUAGCGAAAUUCCUUGUCGGG
rnacentral:rRNA from 1 species